rnacentral:rRNA from 1 species
CAGCCCUUUGUCGCUCCGAUUCGUC